CGCGUCGCCUCCUCUCGGGCGACACGGGAGGCGCCCAGCUCGCCGUCGCCCGCCGCUCCCUCCCUUCUCCUCCUUCGCCUCACCGCUGCCCGAGCGGCCGGCAGCAAAGUCGCGCGGCCGCAAGGACGGCGGCGACGGGGCUUCGCUCAGUCU
rnacentral:sRNA from 1 species